rnacentral:rRNA from 1 species
UACGGGGGGGGGCAAGCGUUGUUCGGAAUUACUGGGCGUAAAGGGCUCGUAGGCGGCCAACUAAGUCGGACGUGAAAUCCCUCAGCUUAACCGGGGAACUGCGUCCGAUACUGGAUGGCUGGAGGUUGGGAGAGGGAUGCGGAAUUCCAGGUGUAGCGGUGAAAUGCGUAGAUAUCGUAAGGAAGACCAGUGGCGAAGGCGGGUCUCUGGACAGUUCCUGACGCUGAGGCACGAAGGUCAGGGGAGCAAACGGG